rnacentral:rRNA from 1 species
UACGAAGGGGCUAGCGUUGCUCGGAAUCACUGGGCGUAAAGCGCACGUAGGCGGAUUUGUAAGUCAGGGGUGAAAUCCCGGGGCUCCAACCUCGGAACUGCCUUGAUACUGCAAUCUCGAGUCCGGAAGAGGUGAGUGGAAUCCUGGUGUAGCGGUGAAAUGCGCAGAUAUCAGGAGGAACACCGGUGGCGAAGCGGGUCUCUGGCCGUAACUGACGCUGAGGAGCGAAAGCGUGGGGAGCAAACAGG